GAGUUUGAUCAUGGCUCAGGACGAACGCUGGCGGCGUGCUUAAUACAUGCAAGUCAACGAGAAGCAGAGUGCUUGCAUUCUGUGGAAAGUGGCGCACGGGUGCGUAACGCGUAGAUAAUCUGCCCUUAGGACUGACAUAACUCCGGGAAACCGAAGCUAAUAUCAGAUAAUGCAGCGGCUCGGCAUCGAGACAGUUGUUAAAUCUUCGGAGCCUAAGGAUGAAUCUGCGUCCCAUUAGGUAGUUGGUGAGGUAACGGCUCACCAAGCCCGCGAUGGGUAGCUGGUCUGAGAGGAUGAUCAGCCACACUGGAACUGAGACACGGUCCAGACUCCUACGGGAGGCAGCAGUAAGGAAUAUUGCUCAAUGGGAGAAAUCCUGAAGCAGCAACGCCGCGUGGAGGAUGAAGGCAUAUUUGUCGUAAACUCCUGUAAGUGGGGAAAAACCAGUCUGUUUACAGACCUUGAUUGUACCCACAGAGUAAGCCCCGGCUAACUACGUGCCAGCAGCCGCGGUAA
rnacentral:rRNA from 1 species